GGGAGAGAGAGCCUGGCUGCCGCGGCGGUCGCGUCGGCAACGGCGCGAUCGUUCAAGGUUACCCGACUCCUCGAGUCGGGCAACACGUUACCGUGAUCCAUCCCUCCCGGAUGAAUCACAAACGCGAGGAAAGUCCCCCCACCUGUUCGGGCAGGUGACCGGACGCAAGUCCGGAGCGGGAGACCGCUGGCUCUGGAACAGAAACGACACGUCUCGGCCCGACCGAUGAUGCGUGCGAACCCGACCGUAAGGAAGGGAAGUUGACCCGCAGAGGGAGCGUGGUCACGUCGUGACCACGUCUCGAACGGCGGCGUCGCCGCCACCGGCGUGGUCGCCCUCACGGUUCGAACCCGUGGAUCGCGAGCACGGUUCGACGCGUCUCCGACGCGAGAACCGUAAACGGUGAGACGGCGCGAGUCGUCGAACACGCACGGAGCGAUCGACCACGCAGACGGCCGAGGAUCGAUGGAACGGCGAACCCUCACCGGUGCAAGUCCGCGCCGUGGUAGCCCGAACGCCCCACGGUCGUCGCGAACGGCGCGACGAUCGUGGACGGCGCGGACGCUCAGCCGAAUGCCGGGACGAACAGAAGGGGGCUUACUCCUCUCACCC
rnacentral:RNase_P_RNA from 2 species